CUAACAUCAAAAUUUAACUAUUGGUUACUCUGUCAAUUAGAUAUGGUCUGAUUAGUUUUUCUACCUCUCAUAGAAGAUAUAGAAUGAAAGGUCGCUCCCAUACACUCUAAUUUUCAUCAACAUCGAUUAUCAGAUUUUUCUACUUUUUUUUUUUUUUUCAAACAUUCCAUCGAAUGAAACUAAAAAACAGAUUUAGCUUCAUUUAUAUUUUCUCAUAUAAUUUUCCAUAUAUAAAUUAAUAAAAAAAAUUGCCUUUCUCGGCUUUAAUUGGGUCUUGGUGAAGCCCACCUCAAAUCGGGCCCAAAAAGAAAAAUUAUACGGAAAAUAUAGCAGCGAAAUACAAAACCCUAACAAGUAACGUCUCUGUCCUGUAAGAGCUAACUGCUAAAAUUACGACUCAUCUCAACCUCAAUUUCAACCCUCUCAGAUUCUCUUGGGUUUUGGCAUAGCAUCUCAGAUUCUCGAUUCUGGGGACAGGUUUGUUGUUGGUAAAUUUCAUUAAUCUCCAUUCCUUAGGAUCAACGCAGUCCAAUAACUGACCCUAAGAAUGGAGAUUAAUCAAAUUUAUCGAUAACCUCUCUCAAGUUGGUGGCUUUUUGUUGGUGUAUUAUAAUUAAAGAUUAAUUAAAUUUACCCAUGACCUCUAUCCACUUGAAUGUGUCAGUGUGCGAUAAUUGAAUCUAAGUAAUGGAGAUUAAUUUAAUUUAUCGAAUAAAAUACAAUUUGAUGUUUUCCUAUGAUCCAUGUCGACCCUUAACAAGUGAACUCAUUCAAUCUGGGUUGUGAUUGAAUAAAUAGUUAGAUCCCUUUGAAUAAAUGGAUUAUUGAUUAUCUUAAUAACAAGUAAAUUCAAUAUUUUGAAAGGAUUAAAAAGUUAUUUUACAAUUAAUAUUUAUGAUUUUGUAUUCAAAUUAUAAAUCUAAACUUAUAUUCCUAUCAAAUGAUUAUUUAUCUAUUUAAAUUUAAAUAUCAUUAAUACUUAAGUUGUUGCAACCAGGAAUUAAAGAGUAGAAUUUGGCAGUGCAAUCUAGAAGGAUUCUGUCAAGGUGUGGGUGUUGCAAGUUUGGUACAAAAUGCCUCAAUGGGUGCUCUGAACUUUUUAAUCAAUAGAAUGUCACUUGCUUUGGUAUAUGAUCAUAUCUGGUGAUUGUAGCUGUUACUAAUUUAUAUGACCUUCACUUGAUAUCAUAAUUAUUCAGAUGUGGGUAGAAAUAUAUCUAUAGGAGCACUUGAUUGUUCAAAGACAUAUUUUGGCUUCAUUUAUACCUUAUCCGAUGAUAAGCUUUUAACUAUUUUAGAUUUGUUAAUUAGAAUUCUGUUGAACUCCAUUGCCUAAUUUAAUUCUAGCAUCUUCCAUAUUAGCAACUUUGACAGCAACAUCUUAAAAUUGCAUGUGAUCUCCUUGGAUGCUUUAUCCAAUUCAGUUCUUCCUGAUCGGGUGAAUGAGAUUGGUUGGGUUCUUUGAUUUGCUUAUUUAAGUGGGAGGACUUUCAUCAGUAGCAGCAGGUGGGCUCAGGCUCAGUUUAUUGAAUUGUCUCUUUUCACGAAUCCGCAGCAAGAAGACUUGAAGGUCUAUGCCUGAGGAGAAUGGUUCCUGAUAGAAGUUGCAGCAUUGUCAAUUCACAUAUUGUAAGGGUGAGAACACUGAGUUUAUUGCUGAUGGACUUGUUUAUAGGAUGAACUGGGGUUCUGAUAAUAGAGUUCUUGUUCCUAUAUUAUGCUUAAGCUUGGCAUAAGGUUCUCUAAACAAUACUCUAGCAUUUUUCUGUACUCUUGUUGCAUAAGUUUUAAGAUGAUUAAGAAGUGUUCAAUCUUGCUUUGAUGACA